UACGGAGGGUGCGAGCGUUAAUCGGAAUUACUGGGCGUAAAGCGCGCGUAGGUGGCUUGAUAAGCCGGUUGUGAAAGCCCCGGGCUCAACCUGGGAAUGGCAUCCGGAACUGUCAGGCUAGAGUGCAGGAGAGGAAGGUAGAAUUCCCGGUGUAGCGGUGAAAUGCGUAGAGAUCGGGAGGAAUACCAGUGGCGAAGGCGGCCUUCUGGACUGACACUGACACUGAGGUGCGAAAGCGUGGGUAGCAAACAGG
rnacentral:rRNA from 1 species